rnacentral:rRNA from 1 species
GACGUAGGGGGCGAGCGUUGUCCGGAUUCAUUGGGCGUAAAGCGCGCGCAGGCGGCCCGGUAAGUCGGAUGUGAAAACCCGGGGCUCAACCCCGGGCCUGCAUUCGAUACUGUCGGGCUUGAGGCAGGUAGGGGAGAUCGGAAUUCCCGGUGUAGCGGUGAAAUGCGCAGAUAUCGGGAGGAACACCGGUGGCGAAGGCGGAUCUCUGGGCCUGUCCUGACGCUCAGGCGCGAAAGCUGGGGGAGCAAACAGG